rnacentral:rRNA from 1 species
AAAACGACUCUCGGCAACGGAUAUCUCGGCUCUCGCAUCGAUGAAAAACGCAGCGAAAUGCGAUACUUGGUGUGAAUUGCAGGAUCCCGCGAACCAUCGAGUCUUUGAACGCAAGUUGCGCCCGAAGCCUUUUGGCCGAGGGCACGUCUGCCUGGGUGUCACUC